rnacentral:rRNA from 1 species
UGACGAGUGGCGGACGGGUGAGUAAUUGCUGGGAAACUGCCUGAUGGAGGGGGAUAACUACUGGAAACGGUAGCUAAUACCGCAUAACGUCGCAAGACCAAAGAGGGGGACCUUCGGGCCUCUUGCCAUCAGAUGUGCCCAGAUGGGAUUAGCUAGUAGGUGGGGUAACGGCUCACCUAGGCGACGAUCCCUAGCUGGUCUGAGAGGAUGACCAGCACACUGGAACUGAGACACGGUCCAGACUCCUACGGGAGGCAGCAGUGGGGAAUAUUGCACAAUGGGCGCAAGCCUGAUGCAGCCAUGCCGCGUGUAUGAAGAAGGCCUUCGGGUUGUAAAGUACUUUCAGCGGGGAGGAAGGUGUUGUGGUUAAUAACCACAGCAAUUGACGUUACCCGCAGAAGAAGCACCGGUAACUCCGUGCCAGCAGCCGGGUAAUACGGAGGGUGCAAGCCGUUAAUCGGAAUUUACUGGCGUAAAAGGCGCACUGCAAGGGCGGGUCUUGUCAAGGUCCGGGAUUGUUGAAAUCUCCCCCGGGGCUCAAGCCUGGGACAGCUUGGCUUCCGANAACGUUGGCCGGGCUACGAAGCUCCUUGGCACCAG